AGAGUUUGAUCCUGGCUCAGGAUGAACGCUAGCUACAGGCUUAACACAUGCAAGUCGAGGGGCAGCAUAAGCUUAGCUUGCUAAGUUUGAUGGCGACCGGCGCACGGGUGAGUAACGCGUAUCCAACCUGGCCCUUAGUAGGGGAUAGCCCGGCGAAAGUCGGAUUAAUACCCUAUGUUUUCCCAUGAGAGCAUUUGAAUGGGAACAAAGGUUUACCGCUAUGGGAUGGGGAUGCGUCCGAUUAGCUUGCCGGCGGGGUAACGGCCCACCGGGGCAUCGAUCGGUAGGGGUUCUGAGAGGAAGGUCCCCCCACAUUGGAACUGAGACACGGUCCAAACUCCUACGGGAGGCAGCAGUGAGGAAUAUUGGUCAAUGGGCGUUAGCCUGAACCAGCCAAGUAGCGUGAGGGAUGACGGCCCUACGGGUUGUAAACCUCUUUUGCGGGGGAAUAAAGUUCGGCACGCGUGCCGUUUUGCAUGUACCCUGAGAAUAAGGACCGGCUAAUUCCGUGCC
rnacentral:rRNA from 1 species